rnacentral:tRNA from 1 species
GACUCGAUAGUGUAGUAGCUUAGCAUCUGAGUGCAAGGAUAGACCCGAGGCGCGAGUUCGAAUCCCGCUUGAGUCG